UCAGGAGUCAGGAUCGUUCGCUCAGCCUGUGCGGUCGAACGAAUAUAUCUCUACUAUGUUCCAUGUUUUUUUUCAUCAUCCUAUCGUCCAACGUUCUACAUAUUAUGAUAAAAUCAACUUAUUUACUUACAUUAUGGAAAAAAAAAUAUUUACCAAACUUCGCAUCAAAACAUAAGGUAAAUUCCGGGCAAGAUUUGAUAAGUAUUUAUUUGCACAAUGACAUUAAUAUAAGCAUGUAAAUCAUAAGCUAACGCAUUACAUAUCACAUUGCAAGGGGCGGACAUUGUCUUAGUAAAAUUAAAAUGGGACUAACACAAGUGGAGGAGGGGUGUCCGCUAGUUUACAAUUUGCGUUGUAACAGGCACCUAAAGCGUCAAAUAAUGAUUGAGCUCUUGGGCGGCACGGGAGCAUUUAUUUGACGCUAGUUGUGUCAAAUUAGCGGAAGGCCCCUGGAGUGUGCUGAUAAGCCGGUCCGCUUUCCCAACAUAGUGUAUCAAGCUGACGUACACUAUAGCCAGAAUUCUUCUGAGGACACGAACAUGUUUGGGAAAAGUGAAAAAUAUUGAAAUGCCGACUUUUUUUCACAUAAACUUGGACAAACUUUAGAAUAUGUGAACAUUUUAAAAUAAUAUGAACAAUUUCUAAAGUUCCAAAUAUUGUUAGCG
rnacentral:lncRNA from 1 species